ACCCUCUCCCAGGUCUAGAGAGGGGUACCCACGGUGGAGGGAGGUGGGAGGCCGAGACGGCCCCGGGGGUCGGCGGAGACCCAGCGGGAGCAGGGGGAAAUCGGAAGAGCUGGGGGCAUGGAGCGGGCGAGUUUGGAGCGGAAUGAGCCGGGAGCCCUACGUUGUGGAAGGAAGACAACAGUAUAGGACCAUCAGCAGGACCGGACAGAGAGGGCCCUGGCUGUCCUGGAACUUGUAGACCAGGCUGGCCUUGAACUCAGAAAUCCGCCUGCCUCUGACUCCCGAGUGCUGAGAUUAAAGGUGUGCACCACCACACCCGACAAGGAAGCCUGUUUUAAGAAGUGAUUCCAUGGAGGAGUUCUGCGGCGGCUCAGGGCUUGACUAAACAGUGGACCUCAGACAAGAGAGGCUAAACCAGGCUGCAGGUGACAGGAAGAAUUGAAUAAACUGAAAGCAAAGGGCAGCCUUCUAAUUACGCUUCGUGGCUAUGUGGACAACCUGGAGAAGUCUGGAAACCUUUCCUCCUCCAUUUUACUACUUGAGGGAGCAGUGGGUGGGAUACUAGAAAGAAGCCAGAAGCCCGAAGCCAGCAGUAGAGCUCUGACUGGCUUGUAUGCCUAGAAAGGAAGGGCUCUUCUUUCGCCUCACGGGCACAAAUGGGACCCACGAGCGCCGAUUUCAGACUAUUCUGAUCCCUUCAAAAAGAAAGUUAGGAGUCCAGGCUACUGUGAGUGAAUUUGAUUCUAAUUGUUUCAGAGAAUAUGGAAUAAAAUAUCUCAUUUGCA
rnacentral:lncRNA from 1 species